rnacentral:rRNA from 1 species
GUCCACGCCGUAAACGAUGAGUACUAGCUGUCGGAGGUUACCCCCUUCGGUGGCGCAGCUAACGCAUUAAGUACUCCGCCUGGGAAGUACGCUCGCAAGAGUGAAACUCAAAAGGAAUUGACGGGGACCCGCACAAGUAGCGGAGCAUGUGGUUUAAUUCGAAGCAACGCGAAGAACCUUACCUAAAGCUUGACAUCCUUUUGACCGAUGCCUAAAUCGCAUUUUUCCCUCGGGACAGAAGUGACAGGUGGUGCAUGGUUGUCGU